UGUUCUCCAUGCAACAUUUCGAGUUACACCAAUGCUUGGAGACUUGUGCAAAGGCCUCCAGCUGUAUGGACUGCUGGACAUACUUUAGGAGCAUCCAAAUCUUUGCAAGAGUCUGUUUGUUCCUGGGGAGGAUUGUAUGGAGGCAGAUCGGUCUCAUAAAUAAUUCACACAAAAGACACGAUGUUCACGUGCUGACGAAGGACCGGCAGAGCGAGGUGAUGUAUCCAGAGAUCAGUCCUCUUUUCCUCCAGGCUGACAACAAUCUCUUCCAGUUCGUCUCGCAGUUCGUGUGCCCCUGAUGGAAGAGCUUCGGGUUUAGACUGAAACAUCAGACCGGGGCCUUAGGAAGAAAGGAAAAAAAAAAACUGCAUUGGAUUAUUAUCUCGAUCUCUUUCACUUUUAUCACACACGGCGAUGUUAAUGAAGAGUGACGCAGCUCAUG